rnacentral:rRNA from 1 species
ACGAACGCUGGCGGCGUGCUUAACACAUGCCAGUCGAACGGAAAGGCCCUGCUUUUGUGGGGUGCUCGAGUGGCGAACGGGUGAGUAACACGUGAGUAACCUGCCCUUGACUUUGGGAUAACUUCAGGAAACUGGGGCUAAUAUCGGAUAGGAGCUCCUGCUGCAUGGUGGGGGUUGGAAAGUUUCGGCGGUUGGGGAUGGACUCGCGGCUUAUCAGCUUGUUGGUGGGGUAGUGGCUUACCAAGGCGUUGACGGGUAGCCGGCCUGAGAGGGUGACCGGCCACAUUGGGACUGAGAUACGGCCCAGACUCCUACGGGAGGCAGCAGUGGGGAAUAUUGCACAAUGGGCGGAAGCCUGAUGCAGCAACGCCGCGUGCGGGAUGACGGCCUUCGGGUUGUAAACCGCUUUCGCCUGUGACGAAGCGUGAGUGACGGUAAUGGGUAAAGAAGCACCGGCUAACUACGUG